GGAAAGAGGAAGGUGGCGGGGCUGUGUGGUUAUGAUAAGGUGAAGUGGGGUAGUUUUUAUGGACACGUGUAGUAUAAUUGUCUUAGUGAAUAUUUACUAAGGAGGAGAUAUACAAAUAACUUCGUAUGUUCUUAUAAUUUUUUUUAAAGAUCUAGAAAAUAUUUUUCUAUAAUAGUUGCAUAUGUGGAUGACAUAAAAAUAUUGGAACUCCUGAAGAGAUU
rnacentral:lncRNA from 1 species